rnacentral:piRNA from 1 species
UGAAAAAGUGAUGCUUCAUUCUGAUGGAAAA